GAUUCGGUGUAAGAACGCCCGACGCGCAACUUGUGUUUUUUUUUAUACCAGAACUUUAGAUUUAAAUUGUUGGUGGCGUUUUAUCCCUUUGGACCAGCCAAGUAAAUCUCCCAUCCCUUGUUUUUUUUUAAGGGGGCACGGAGUAAUCCCAAAAUCGACAAAAAAAAAAAAAAAAAAAAAAAAAAAUGCAAACUACACGACGUAUACGUAACGGGGAUCUGUAUGAAUAUUCUCAUUUAUUUUCCUUCUUUAUUCUCUUUGAACAGCUGUAAUUUAUUUGUUUUAAAAUUAAUUUCGUACCAAAACCAAAUUGCAAUUUUAGCAGAGGAAAUUUUAGCGAAACCAAAACAAUGAACGAACGAAAUAAUGCAUUUGAAGCCGUUUUCAUUCAAAAUAUUCUAUUUAACAGAAAAUUGCAUAAUUUGACUUUGCAAGAAAUAAGAAAAAAUUAUCAUUAAACUUGACCUUCAUAACUUGAGCUUUUUCAGGCUCGAGUCGAUAUGAAAUUUUUUAUAAUAUUCUCAUACUUUGUCUAUAUCGAUUUAUUUGCCCAUCUGCCUGACCCGGUUUACAUUGGAUUGAGUGAUUGUGUAACUAAUUUUGGGUAAUAUGUAAUAUGACUGUUUGUAUACCUU